AGUGAACGCUGGCGGUAGGCCUAACACAUGCAAGUCGAACGGCAGCACAGUAAGAGCUUGCUCUUACGGGUGGCGAGUGGCGGACGGGUGAGGAAUACAUCGGAAUCUACUUUUUCGUGGGGGAUAACGUAGGGAAACUUACGCUAAUACCGCAUACGACCUACGGGUGAAAGCAGGGGAUCUUCGGACCUUGCGCGAUUGAAUGAGCCGAUGUCGGAUUAGCUAGUUGGCGGGGUAAAGGCCCACCAAGGCGACGAUCCGUAGCUGGUCUGAGAGGAUGAUCAGCCACACUGGAACUGAGACACGGUCCAGACUCCUACGGGAGGCAGCAGUGGGGAAUAUUGGACAAUGGGCGCAAGCCUGAUCCAGCCAUACCGCGUGGGUGAAUAAGGCCUUCGGGUUGUAAAGCCCUUUUGUUGGGAAAGAAAAGCAGCAGGUUAAUACCCCGCUGUUCUGACGGUACCCAAAGAAUAGGCACCGGCUAACUUCGUG
rnacentral:rRNA from 1 species